AUAAAAACUCAAUUUGUAAUAUACAUGGAUAAGAAAUUACGCAAAUUUCCAUCAGCAGUGGAGUAGAUAUACUGUAGUAUACUUGCCAAAUAAAAUAUUAUACAAUACACACUGAUGAUUUACAACAACAUACAACAAUAGAAAUCAGAUUCACAAAUGUAACAUUGAGAGAUAAAGUACAAAAACAGGCAAAAACAAUCUUGCAAAUCUCCUGUGCUGGUCAAGCUGUUUUCACAUUUGUGCAUCCCUCUACAUUCCUCCUGCUCCUGCUUCCCAUUCAUCAGCUUUCCCUCUGCAUUCUAUAUCAUCAGCCUUCUGUAGGAGAUUUUGCCUCUUUUUUUUUUUCUUUCUUUAGUGCUCUUUUAUUUAGAAAAUAGUGUGGAAUAGCAUGGGGACAGGACCCAUGGGCAGUCAGAGCUUCUGCUGCCGCCGCUUCUGCUGCCCCCGCUGGCAUGGGGACAGAGCCCAUGGGCAGGCAGAGCUGGUGCGAGGGGACAGGACCCACGGGCAGUCAGAGCUCCUGCUGCUGCCCCGAGUUGAGGGUUAGGGCUAAUUUUAUAAGGCAUAGGUAUAUGAUUCAUCUCUUUACAAGACAAAGGAAAGAACAUGAAAAAAAGUUAAAAUGGUAUCAGUGCGGGUGGGGUCUGGUCAUUGGGUGAUCCCAUGACUUUUAGACAAGAAUCAAAUCGGAUUAAGUAAAGGUUAGAAAGGUUAGACACCACCUCCCUAAACCAGUUACAUGAGAUUGCCAGACAGCAACCAACUUAAGUUCUUGCCUCUGGCAUUGACCAAGAGCCUCUAGAGAUAAGACCAUCCCCCCCUCUUCCUGGCACAGAGAGGGAGGCAUCUUCACAGAUAGAGGUUUCCCUUAGAAAUGUAAAUGUUUCCCAACAAAGGGGCAAACAAAUUCCACUCCUUGGAGCCUGAAUCUCAUCUGUAGUUUUAAAACUAACCAGCCUCAAAAUCCUCAUCAUAAGCCAUU
rnacentral:lncRNA from 1 species